rnacentral:rRNA from 1 species
GUCUACUUGGAGGUUCUGCCCUUGAGGCGUUGCUUCCUGAGCUAUCUCGUUAAGUAGACCGCCUGGGGAGUACGGCCGCAAGUUUAAAACUCAAAUGAAUUGACGGGGGCCCGCACUAGCGGUGGAGCAAGAGGUAUAAUUCGAUGCAACGCGAAGAACCUUACCUGGUCUUGACAUCCACAGAACUUUCCAGAGAUGGACUGGUGCCUUCGGGAACUGUGAGACAGGUGCUGCAUGGCUGUCGUCAGCUCGUGUUGUGAAAUGUUGGGUUAAGUCCCGCAACGAGCGCAACCCUUAUCCUUUGUUGCCAGCGGUCCGGCCGGGAACUCAAAGGAGACUGCCAGUGAU